rnacentral:lncRNA from 1 species
CAUCAGCUCAACGACAUAUUUCUUGUCCAGGAGAAGCAAAAAAGAAUUCAAAGAUAGUGUCUGCAGUACUAGUCGAACGGUCAAAAUAAUUGCUAAACAACAAUUCUUGCACAGAACCGUAGAGCGGAAGGACUUUGCUUCAUUCAUCUGCCAAUGUGUCAUCCUCAGGAGACGAUGGAUCUACACUGGGGGCAGCAGGUGCCAGGUGGUGAUGUUGCUGCUGGAUUAUUAUCAGUUAUCCAAAAUGGAGGAAUUCUUUUAUCGUCAUCCUUCAUUCUCUUAGCAUACUUGUUGAUGCAAAAACCUGCAUCAUCUUUUCCAACAAAUGCAGACUCCACCACUUCCAUGUCAAACAAAUCAUCCGUGACACUUCGUACUAGGUAUGUCCGAGGAAACAAAUUUGACUUUGGCAACAGUUUUAGGCUCUAGGAAAGGUUUCACAACCUGAAAUGCAAAGGUGAGAGUUACUUUAAAAAAAUAGUAACCCCGAAAAAGUAAGUUAUCUAAACAUGAUUGUUGAAGCAAACCAUUAUAACAGAGUUCUAAAUGAAAGAUAAUGUGAUGAGAUGAAUGAACAUUUCCAAGUAAACUAAGAAAAAUAAGAAAUAAGGGAAAAUGCCGUCCAAAAUGGUUCGAAUAUCUUUGGUGGAUCAAAUAGAAUUGCGAGUCCCAGUCUCUCGGAAGGAUAUGAGCUGUUUCCCUUGUCACUUUUAUUGACAUGUGGGAUAAAUUGAAGCCAUGUAAAUCAAUCAACCGGACCAGCUGCUCUUGGUCUUCAGGGAGAUCUAGAAUUGCAUUCUCCAUGCAAUAACAAAUACUUAAUCUGUCCUGAUGAUUUUGUGUUCUGCACUGAUAUAAAACUAGAAAACGCUGAGUAAAAAUCUAGGACAAAGUGCAUCUUUGCUAAAAGCUCAAAGUUACAAUUAAACAAGAUAAUAAUUUUUUUUUUUUUUUUUUUUUUUUUUGGGUCAAAGUUGGAAAUAAGUAAGCUAUGUUUAAGAAAAGGAGGAAUUAUCAUAUUUGACCUGACAUCUAGGCCUCAUGAACAAAACAGGCCUCCCGUGCUUAUCUUUAUGGAAAGAUGUUACAUGUGCUAAUACUUUUGUACAAACUUUGUUACUUACACUCACAAUGGGAAGGUGGGGUCUACAUGUCAGAAUUAUUUAAUCCAUGUGGGGAUCGCAUGUAUGUGAGAGUGAGUAGAAGCUUUUGUCAACCAAAGUUUGUACAAAUAUCUCAAUCCAUUUUUAUAACUCGCCCUGUAUAUUUUCCAGUUUCUGCCUCCAUCACAACAUCUCCCUUCAUCGCAAAUUAAGAAACGCUAGCGGAGUAUAUAUUUUGAGUCUUUCACAACCAUGAUUCCAUGAACGCUCAAAAGCUUGAAAAAUCUACCGGCAAACGCACAAGAGAACAGAGAACUCCAGACGUGGAUGCUAACAAUGCAUGGUCAUUAUCCAGCGAAUUUCUUCAGGUUUGUAUUCCUUUCGCCACUUUAGGGUCGCUUUAAGCAUUUUAACAGCCUUAUUAACGUUCCAGUUUCGUGCCCUUAACUAUCUUGAAAUCGAUGCAUCGGAAUAAAAGGGCUAAUUUACGAAACUGUGGCCCUAUUAAACUUCUCAGUUCUCACCUCGUUAAUCUGAAAAUAUGGGAAAGUAUAUAAGCAUGAAAUAAUAGGUUUUUCAACAACGGUUUUAGGACUGAAAUACCUUUCCCUGCUUCAAUUCUGGAGCCAAAGAACCGUCGCAGCAAUUUGGAGCUGUUUUAUUUAACUCAGAGCUCAUUAUUCUCAAUGCUUCGGUAGGAACUAUUCUCCCAAGUAAUUAAGGGGGUGUAUUCAAUUGGAACUUUUAAAAACUUUGAUAGGCUUUUUUUAAGCGAUGAGUUUCGUGGAUUUCGUGGAUCUUUUAUAGAUUUGUAUGGAAUUAGUGGAAAUCUUUCGUAGACUUCCAUGCACUUUCAUUUUAAAAUUUUUAUAGACUUUUGUAGAAUUCAAAAGAUUUUUGAAAACUUUUAUUUAAAAUAGAAUUC